GGCAAGUGAUGUCUAUUUUCACGAUGGUCUUCAGAGGCCUGUGACAGGCACUGCUGAGAAAGCCAAUUGGAAGAACUGAUGCCAGAAA
ensembl:snoRNA small nucleolar RNA SNORD35